rnacentral:rRNA from 1 species
CUGACUGUGCUAAGGUAGCAUAAUAAUUUGUAUUUUAAUUGUUUACUAGAAUGAAUGGCUUGACGAAAAAUAAUCUUUCUUCUUAGAAAUUUAAAUUAAUUUGUAAAUAAAAAAGUUUAUAUUUUAUAGAGUGACGAUAAGACCCUAAAACCUUUAUAAACUAAUGUUGUUUUACUGGGGCGGUAAAUUAUAUUUCAUAAUUUUUUAAAACAUAAUUAAUGAAACGUAACUUACUAAAGAUAAAGACAAAAAGGUACUUUAGGGAUAACAGUAUAAUUUUUAUUUAGAGUAACUUAUCAACAUAAAAGAUUUUAACCUCGAUGUUGAAUUGAUAUUUCUUUAUUAAGCAACCAUAAUACAAGUAAGUCUGUUCGACUUAUAAAAUAUCACGUGAUCUGAG